rnacentral:piRNA from 1 species
UCAUGCUGUGUAACCAGUGGGCUG